CUUUCAUUUCAGAUCUAAACUUUUUAUCUGUUCUCUCUCUUUCCAAACAACACCACCACCACCCUCUUCUUCAUCGCUACCACCACCACUACCACCUCCUCCUCAUCACCUCUGUCGCUGCAAAUAGAUUCAGGAACACCUCUUCCGCCAUCAUCAUUACCACCAUCAGCACCAUACCACAUCCUAAACAACCUAUUUAUAUCGAUGAAUCAAUGAGAAACUAACUUCUCAAAUCAAAUCUAAAGCAUUAGAAACAUCAUAUUUAUUUUCGAUAUCAACUGGGUUUGGAUUGAAUAACCUAAAACCGUUGAUAACAAUAAGUUCUUAAAGAUCUGUUUGCAUCAAUUUAGGAAGAAACGAUGAAAAUUGUCAUCAAUUAUUGGAUCUGAAGUCAAUUGUCCAGAUGCAAUAAAAAUUGAUUAUCUUCUUUCUCUAGUUUAAGUUUCUGAUGGUGGUGGUGGUGGUGGUAUUGUAACUAGUGGCGAUGUAGAUGUAAAGAGGUUAGAACGAUGAAAUUGAUGAUGGAGGUUGUGCUGGUUCUGGUUGGAAUGAUGAAUUAAAAUUGGUCAUGAAGACAGUGGUGGUUCUGGUUGUUGUGGUGUUGUUGGAGAUUCCAUGUGCUAGUGGUGGUGACGGUGAGGUUGGAAGAUAAGUUGGUGUAUGACUGAAUCAGAUUUGAAAGCAGUAAUGGUGGAUAUUGCAGCACUAGUAACGGUGGAUGUUAUUGUACUGGAGGGAACGGUGGUGGAUUUUGUUGUAGUAGGAAUGGUGGUGGUGGUGGUGAUGGCAGCAUUGGUGGUGUUAGUGUGGAAGCAUCCGUAGAGUGGGAGUGGAGAUUACUGCUUCUUGAUGUCUUUAUUAAGUAAAUGACUUUGUCUGCACAUUUUGCUGUGUAAAAAAUUGAAAUGAUCACUAGAACUAACUUGCUAGCUAGCUGAUGGUAUUUGGAUUACUAAAUAGGGGGAACAAUAUAAGCAGUGGACCAGUGGUGCAGUUGUUUGAGAGUGCAUUGGAUCUGUUCGAAGAUGAUCCUUCCAUAUAUCGUUCAAACUUUAGACGGAAAGGGAACACUUUUUAAAGUCUUUUGUCUGAAAUCUCGUUUGGUGUGAUAAGGUAUAUAAGAGUUGAUCAUCUUCCAUUCCGGGUCACAUCUGUUGUUCUUGUUCCAGUUAUUGAUCCUUACAAACUACUGGAUAUCUUUCAAGAUGAACUUGUGGUGUAAUGGUAUCACGACUGACUCCACGUCAGAAGAUGCGUGUUCGAUUCACGCCAGGCUCACUAAUUUUAGUACAUUAAUUUUUGGAUCAACUUCGAUUGUUGAUACCAGAUUUUGGGAUCAACUUUGUUUGUUGACGCCAUAUUAUUUUCUUUCAUUAUUUUUCUUGUUUUGUGAUUUUUAUUUUGGGAUCAACUUUGGUUGUUGAUACCAGAUUUUGGGAUCAAUUUCGAUUGUUGACAUCAGAUUUGGAAUUAAUUUCGGUUGUUGACGCCAUAUUACCUUUUUAUGAUUCUUUGAUUUUUGUUUUGGGAUCAA